AGUGAACGCUGGCGGCGUGCCUAAUACAUGCAAGUCGAACGAUGAAGCUUCUAGCUUGCUAGAAGUGAAUUAGUGGCGCACGGGUGAGUAAGGUAUAGUUAAUCUGCCCUACACUGGGGGACAACACUUAGAAAUGAGUGCUAAUACCCCAUACUCCUACCUAACAUAAGUUAGGUAGGGAAAGUUUUUCGGUGUAGGAUGAGACUAUAUAGUAUCAGCUAGUUGGUAAGGUAAAGGCUUACCAAGGCUAUGACGCUUAACUGGUCUGAGAGGAUGAUCAGUCACACUGGAACUGAGACACGGUCCAGACUCCUACGGGAGGCAGCAGUAGGGAAUAUUGCGCAAUGGGGGAAACCCUGACGCAGCAACGCCGCGUGGAGGAUGACACUUUUCGGAGCGUAAACUCCUUUUCUUAGGGAAGAAUUCUGACGGUACCUAAGGAAUAAGCACCGGCUAACUCCGUGCCAGCAGCCGCGGUAAUACGGAGGGUGCAAGCGUUACUCGGAAUCACUGGGCGUAAAGGGCGCGUAGGCGGAUUAUCAAGUCUCUUGUGAAAUCUAAUGGCUUAACCAUUAAACUGCUUGGGAAACUGAUAGUCUAGAGUGAGGGAGAGGCAGAUGGAAUUGGUGGUGUAGGGGUAAAAUCCGUAGAUAUCACCAAGAAUACCCAUUGCGAAGGCGAUCUGCUGGAACUCAACUGACGCUAAGGCGCGAAAGCGUGGGGAGCAAACAGGAUUAGAUACCCUGGUAGUCCACGCCCUAAACGAUGUAUGCUAGUUGUUGGGGUGCUAGUCAUCUCAGUAAUGCAGCUAACGCAUUAAGCAUACCGCCUGGGGAGUACGGUCGCAAGAUUAAAACUCAAAGGAAUAGACGGGGACCCGCACAAGCGGUGGAGCAUGUGGUUUAAUUCGAAGAUACGCGAAGAACCUUACCUAGGCUUGAUAUCCAACAAAUUCUGUAGAGAUACGGAAGUGCUAGCUUGCUAGAAUGUUGAGACAGGUGCUGCACGGCUGUCGUCAGCUCGUGUCGUGAGAUGUUGGGUUAAGUCCCGCAACGAGCGCAACCCUCGUCCUUAGUUGCUAACGAUUCGGUCGAGCACUCUAAGGAGACUGCCUUCGUAAGGAGGAGGAAGGUGGGGACGACGUCAAGUCAUCAUGGCCCUUACGCCUAGGGCGACACACGUGCUACAAUGGCAUAUACAAUGAGACGCAAUACCGCGAGGUGGAGCAAAUCUAUAAAAUAUGUCCCAGUUCGGAUUGUUCUCUGCAACUCGAGAGCAUGAAGCCGGAAUCGCUAGUAAUCGCAAAUCAGCCAUGUUGCGGUGAAUACGUUCCCGGGUCUU
rnacentral:rRNA from 1 species